CUCCCCGGCAGGGAAUCGAACCCCAGUCGUCCACGUGACAGGCGGGAAUACUAACCACUAUUCUACUGAGGA